GUGAGGAAUUUUCCGCAAUGGGCGAAAGCCUGACGGAGCAAUGCCGCGUGAAGGAUGAAGGCCUAUGGGUUGUAAACUUCUUUUCUCAGAAAAGAAUUAUGACGGUAUCUGAGGAAUAAGCAUCGGCUAACUCUGUGCCAGCAGCCGCGGUAAGACAGAGGAUGCAAGCGUUAUCCGGAAUGAUUGGGCGUAAAGCGUCUGUAGGUUGUUUAAAAAGUAUUCUGUCAAAGAUUAGGGCUUAACCCUAGAUAGGCAGAAUAAACUUUUAAGCUAGAGUUUGGUAGAGGCAGAGGGAAUUCCCGGUGGAGCGGUGAAAUGCGUAGAUAUCGGGAGGAACACCAAGGCGAAGGCACUCUGCUGGGCCAAUACUAACACUGAGAGACGAAAGCGAGGGGAGCAAAUGGGAUUAGAAACCCGUGUAGUCC
rnacentral:rRNA from 1 species